rnacentral:rRNA from 1 species
AGCUCCAAUAGCGUAUAUUAAAAUUGUUGCGGUUAAAACGCUCGUAGUUGGAUAUUUGUUGAAGAAUGUGGGUCCAUCCUCAGUGGUGAGCACUCCAUAUGUCUUCGACAUCUUACUGGGGACAGUAAUUCCACUUCAUUGCGGGGUUACACGAUCCAGAACUUUUACUUUGAGGAAAUGAGAGUGUUUCAAGCAGGCCAAGCCAUGAAUACGUUAGCAUGGAAUAAUAGCAUAGGACCUUGUGUCGUAGCUGUUGGUUGACGGCAUAAGGUAAUAAAA